rnacentral:tRNA from 1 species
UCCUUCUUAGUUUAGUUAGGUCAGAAUUUUAACUUGUCGAGUUAGAGGGGGGCUUUGGCCCAGGGGGAU